rnacentral:rRNA from 1 species
UACGUAGGGUGCGAGCGUUAAUCGGAAUUACUGGGCGUAAAGCGUGCGCAGGCGGUUCGUUGUGUCGGCGGUGAAAGCCCCGGGCUUAACCUGGGAAUGGCCGUCGAAACUGGCGAACUGGAGUGUGGCAGAGGGGGGUGGAAUUCCGCGUGUAGCAGUGGAAUGCGUAGAGAUGCGGAGGAACACCGAUGGCGAAGGCAGCCCCCUGGGCUGACACUGACGCUCAUGCACGAAAGCGUGGGGAGCAAACAGG